rnacentral:rRNA from 1 species
GACAGAGGAUGCAAACGUUGCUCGGAAUUACUGGGCGUAAAGCGCGUGUAGGCGGUCUGGUAAGUCGGACGUGAAAGCCCGGGGCUCAACCCCGGAAGCGCGCUCGAUACUGCUUGACUAGGGUCCUGAAGAGGAGAGCGGAAUUCCCGGUGUAGAGGUGAAAUUCGUAGAUAUCGGGAGGAACACCAGUGGCGAAGGCGGCUCUCUGGGCAGGUACCGACGCUGAGACGCGAAAGCGUGGGGAGCAAAC